rnacentral:lncRNA from 1 species
GGAACGUGAAAUUGGGGUAAAAUCUCUAAUUUGGCAUUAAAAUUAGAAAGAUCAUAUCAUAGGGAACAUGUGUACCAAGUUUGAAGUCGAUUGGACUUCAACUUCAUCAAAAACUACCUCGACCAAAAACUUUAACCUGAAGCGGGACAGACGGACGGACGAACGAACGGACGAACGGACGGACGCACGGACGGACAAACGGACGCACAGACCAGAAAACAUAAUGCCCCUCUACUAUCGUAGGUGGGGCAUAAAAACAAGAAACGAGAAAACCACAUCAACA